rnacentral:rRNA from 1 species
AGAGUUUGAUCAUGGCUCAGAAUCAACGCUGGCGGCGUGCCUCAGACAUGCAAGUCGAACGAUUAAAGCUCCCUUCGGGGAGUGCAUAAAGUGGCGCACGGGUGAGUAACACGUAAGUAAUCUACCUUCGAGUGGGGAAUAACGUUCGGAAACGGACGCUAAUACCGCAUAAUGCAGCGGCAUCGCAAGAUGACAGUUGUUAAAGAUUUAUUGCUUGAAGAGGAGCUUGCGGCAGAUUAGCUAGUUGGUAAGGUAAUGGCUUACCAAGGCUACGAUCUGUAUCCGGUCUAAGAGGACGGUCGGACACACUGACACUGAAUAACGGGUCAGACUCCUACGGGAGGCAGCAGUCGGGAAUUUUGGGCAAUGGGGGAAACCCUGACCCAGCAACGCCGCGUGAAGGAUGAAGUAUUUCGGUAUGUAAACUUCGAAAGAAUAGGAAGAAUAAAUGACGGUACUAUUUAUAAGCUCCGGCUAACUACGUGCCAGCAGCCGCGGUAAUACGUAGGGAGCAAGCGUUGUUCGGAUUUACUGGGCGUAAAGGGCGCGUAGGCGGCGCGGUAAGUCACUUGUGAAAUCUCUGAGCUUAACUCAGAACGGCCAAGUGAUACUGCAGUGCUAGAGUGCAGAAGGGGCAAUCGGAAUUCUUGGUGUAGCGGUGAAAUGCGUAGAUAUCAAGAGGAACACCUGAGGUGAAGACGGGUUGCUGGGCUGACACUGACGCUGAGUGCGCGAAAGCCAGGGGAGCAAACGGGAUUAGAUACCCUAGUAGUCC